AUCAACUUUCGAUGGUAGGAUAGAGGCCUACCAUGGUGGUAACGGGUAACGGGGUGUUAGGGCACGACACCGGAGAGGGAGCCUGAGAAACGGCUACCACAUCCAAGGAUGGCAGCAGGCGCGCAAAUUACCCAAUCCCGACACGGGGAGGUAGUGACAAUAAAUAACAAUACGGGGUUCUUUCGGAUCUCGUAAUUGGAAUGAGUACAAUUUAAAUCUCUUAACGAGGAACAAUUGGAGGGCAAGUCUGGUGCCAGCAGCCGCGGUAAUUCCAGCUCCAAUAGCGUAUAUUAAAGUUGUUGCAGUUAAAAAGCUCGUAGUUGAAUUUCGGGAUCAAUACGUCUGUCGUGCCUUCGGUACGUACGGGUGUAAUUGGUCUCUACCUUCUGAGGAUCCUUGAUGUCAUUAAUUUGGUGUCUUGGGGAAUCAGGACUGUUACCUUGAAAAAAUUAGAGUGUUUAAAGCAGGCAUACGCUUGAAUACAUUAGCAUGGAAUAAUGAAAUAGGACGUUCGAUUCUAUUUUGUUGGUUUCUAGGAUCGACGUAAUGAUUAAUAGGGAUAGUUGGGGGCAUUAGUAUUCAAUUGUCAGAGGUGAAAUUCUUGGAUUUAUUGAAGACUAACCACUGCGAAAGCAUUUGCCAAGGAUGUUUUCAUUAAUCAAGAACGAAAGUUAGGGGAUCGAAGACGAUCAGAUACCGUCGUAGUCUUAACCAUAAACUAUGCCGACUAGGGAUCGGAUGAUGUUAAUUUUUUAAUGACUCAUUCGGCGCCUUACGGGAAACCAAAGUGUUUGGGUUC
rnacentral:rRNA from 1 species